ensembl:lncRNA
GCUGAAGGAAACAAGCUGAUAAGGAGCCCGGCAAUUACUUAGUUGGGAUCUGCCGUAAUUCUUCAUUCUUCUACCUUCCCAAAUGCAACCCCUUUAAAAACAACCAGGGCCAGUAUAUGACUUCCAUACUGAUGCAAACAUAAAUAAAGCUUAUUAAGAGAUAACUGUUCCUUGGGUGCCUCCUCCCACUUCUUUGCAAUCAGUUUCCUGUUUUUUAGGGUUCGUUUUCCCACAUCAUCUGCAGUUGGACUUUGCUCUGAAACCAACAGGCAUGAAAGGCAGCUCCUGUGAGGAGGCAGCUAUCUCGUGUUUAUGCCUUUCACAUACUUGCAAUAAGAAAGGAACCUCUGAGAGCAGUGGCACUGAAUGUUGGGGCUAAGGCUAGAGGAGAAGUCAGUUUUGUAAUGUUCCAGAAUAGGCUUGAAAAGAUUCUUUUAGUAACAUUUGUACCAGGCUCAAAGCUUUAUCUUGUUGCUUUCUGACUCGAGCGCUCUGCCGGUAUUCAGAGCUGCGCCCAAUUACUCUGCUGGGAGGGGAAAUGGAGUUUUACAAUAAGGCCUCUCUUUAGCAAAAUUCAGUUUAUUUACAGAGAAAUCCACACAGUGUCCUGCUUGUGCGGACAGCCUGCGACCACAUGGCAGCCGACAGCCUACUUCCUCACAUUACCUAAGCCAUCAUUCCCAGAGAGCUUCCCCUCAGGAGCUCGGCCUGCUCCUUGCCCACAGCCACAGCCUCAUCACCCACCGCCCUGCCCGUGUGCCCCUAGCAGCAGCUGCAGCACAUCGCUGCCAGCCUCUCAUUCCUGGGGAUUUGGCCUUGCCCCGCUGCCCCUGGCCUUCAGCUGCAGAUUUAAUUAAUUUAAUUGCUCCUUCCCUUGCCCCUUGUCAAAGGAUGCUGGCCUGCUUCUGGGUGCUUUCCAGGUGUUCUGUAAAUGACAGACACGGGCUUCUUCCAACACACUAGCACAAACAUCUUCUUCCUAAAACUCCAUAGCUUCAACGGAGAAUAUUUCUUUGGUUUUUUUGUGUGUGUCUGUGUGCUGUCAUACUUUUAGUGCCAGCAGAAAGCGUAAGUAUGAUCCUGACUAUUCCAAUCGAUGUGUUUGAUGAAUUUGUGAACAUUUAUUUAUAUUCACAUUAUACAGUGCAUCCCCUCAAAAUGAAAAGAAUACCCCUUUUCACGGGUGGAUGAAGAAAGAAAUAUGAACGCAAGUCUGGCAAGAAAUGUGGCUGUCCCAGCUUGGGGGCAGAGCUGUGGCAUGGACUGCUGCUGCUCACAUAUCAGAACUAUCCAUGGCACAAAAAGCAGGAGCAUGAGCUAUCUGAUUUUAUGUGAAAUUCCUUUAGAUCCCAAUUUCUAAAAGCGCAAUCGGAUCGCUUGGUGCUGCAGAGUUUAAAGUAGGUGUGAAUGUGAAGGUUCCUUGGAGAAGGAAAGACACCUCAGUUGAACAGAACACAGGAAAACACCGAAAGGAGAAUUGAAGCAAAUGUCUUACUUGGUAAUAAUAGCGAUGAACUACAUUUAAAAACAUUUUUAAUUAUUAUUUGCAGGCUGGAAGCAUUUAACCUAUUACUGUUUAUAGAAGGAAGUUUUCAUAUUCUGUGGCAGAAUUUAAAUUAAAAUCCUCGCUAUGGUGUCAUUCUGAUAAUAAUUUAAUUCUGGGACUGUUGCCAUCGUGUAUUUAUAACACAGAAAUUUUUGCAACUGGAAGAGCUAUCCAUAGUAGUCAAUAGACUGAGUUACGCCUGUGAUAGUGCAGUUAUCUAUUACUUUAAUAUGCUAACUAGGAUUUCAGUGUAGCUGCUAGCAUGGAAAAUCUUUUAAAACACAGUAUAUUAACAAAGUGGAGGGAACAACCCUGCUUGUUCUUUUACACUGAAUAUUUUCAUGGUUUGACUUUAGAUAUUCCCCUGCUAAGAAAACUGCUGUUGUUUACAUAAUGCUGAACUUGGGUUACCCUGCAGGGAGUUCAUGACAUACAAGCCAAAUGUUUUAAUAAUUGUAACAACUAAAUUUGAUGGUGUUUAAUAUUCUUGCAUUCAUAAUGAAGCUUUGUUGACUGUUUAGUCUGUUAAUUCUUAUGUAAAAUGUUGCCUGCUGCGGUGGAACAAAAUACGCCUUCUUCCUUUGUAUUAAGAUCAAUGAAAAACAGCAUUUGAGGACAAUCUACAUCAGACCUAUUAUCAGUACUCUACAAAUUUGUAAAAUAUAAGAUGAUGUAUCUGUUAUUUUGGUGCUGUGUAGAACCAGCAAGUUAAUCUCUAAGUACAACAUUUAAACAGUACGUACAAGAAAAGCAUUGAGAGGUUUUCAUUUGCAUACCUUUAGAGUCUGUUGAAAUUAAGGAACUGGCAACUACUGAAAUUCAGAAACUGGCAUUUUAUUUUAUUUAUUCUCUUUAUAUUUCUAUAUAUGUAUUAUUUUUUCUCUAUGUGUAUUUACUAUAUUUCAUUCUAUAACAUCUAAUUGCUGAAAUCCUAUCUUCUGCAUUACAUCAGUGAGCAGCUACAGCAGUACUUUGGGUUUUGGUGUUGUUUUGUUGUUCGUUUUUUUAUUAUGACAGCAGAUGAAUUGGUAAAUUGGUUAUCUAACAGCUGUUUUACAUUUUCAAUUUACCAGUCUUUGAUGAUGUCUUGUUUUGAAGAGUAUUUUCCAGACUAAGACACCAUAUGAUCCCUCUGUAUUUCUGUAACAUGUAACUCGACCUUUUAAUUUGUUGCUAAUUACUCUUAAAUGGCUGUUUGCUGAGCAAGCUAAAGAAAUGUAGGAAGUCAUUCCACCUGUGGCAAAACUCAGAGCUCCUGUAGUAUAAUCAGUACCAGUUACGGUACUGAAUUAAAAAUGUUCAGAGGGAUAUUCUCACAAGUUAAGCUACUUUGGAGAGGAUGAAAUAUAGGUCAGAUAACCUGGCAGUAUAAGACUGACAGCGUAAUGCUAUGAAAGUGAAAUGUGACUGUAAAUUCCCUUUUCGUUGCAGCUGCUAGUUGCUAGCACAGCCCACACCAGGAUUUAAGUGCAUGCACAGUCACUCUGGUGAGGAGGUGUAUGGGUAUGGGCUCAGACCUUUCCCUUGGCAGCCUCUGCACAUUGGCAUAAUUGUAUAGCUCCCUGCAGUGGCCAAAUCCGGAUGGUUGCCACAUGGCAUGUGUGCCUGAUUCCAGCUACACUUCAUCUCCUGCAUUCACAUGCAUUGCAGUGUUUCGGUAAAGAACCAAUCGAGCUAUCUGGCAGGAUAUUCCCAUUUCACUUCCAGAACAAAGCAUGCCACCUGGCACACAUGAACACCUGCCCCAGGGGAGCAGCUGAGCAACCACAUGUGGUGGGAGCUGUGUCCCUAAUCCCUCAAAACAUACCUAGAGACCAUGGCAAUAGAUGCAGUAUAAGAAAACAUGUUGAAUAAAAUUGCAUGAAAUACUGUCUGCUCCCCCAGAACUUCAUGGUUAUUUUGUUAUUGACUUCAAAUCCAUCUAGAAUUCUGCCCAUGCAAUUUCAAAGUAAUUGGAAUAAAGUCUUUUUCUUCUUUUUUCUUCUAAAUGAAGGCUUUUGCUGUAUUUAACUACAUAAUUGUACUGGUUACCACUGUAGUAUCAGACUGAAGAAGGACUCCAAACUCAUGUUGCUGCUGAGUACAGAACCAGUCACCUCUCCAAGCCUCUUACGCCCUGUGAGAUUUUAUGGGUGUAUCUAAAACUUACCUGAUCAAAAUCUGCACUAAUAUAUUCAAAUGCCAUACAUCUCUGCAUCUGUGUCCCUGACUUCUUAUUUUUAGUCCUCACCAGUGUAGGUACAUAUGGAUUUUCUUAUUUAUUACCUUAAUUAAGUUUAUUAUAGCUCAAGAUAUGUUUAGCAAAUUGUAAUUACUAGUAUUUCUUUAUAUGUAACAGUAGUUUUCAUCAAUCUAUCUUUUCAUUUCCAAUUCCUCAGACAUGUUUCUGGCACUCCCUUAGAGUACAAAAUAUAAUUACAAGUCAUUUGGUAAUUUUAUUAGUCUAUUCUCAGAAGACUAUGGGAUCCAUAUCUUCUAGACUUGUUCAUCUUUAUAUAUUCUGUUUCUUCGUGUAUUCCCUUACCUGCCAGAUCACCAGAUAUAGUGACAUAAUCUUCAUUACUUAAUUAUAAUUAUUAGUCAAGGGGUUUCUACCUACACAUACAGCUUCCAAACAAAAUGUCUUGAACAGAUAAGCAACAGGUUUAAAAAAUAAACCAUUUGACACUGGGAAUAUUUUGUGCUGGCCAUCUAAGAGCAGUAAGAGAAUAAAUAGUCAUUCGUUAUCUGGAGAAUGCUGUGUAAUGAAUGACAGAAUAAAGGCUGUAGGUGAAUUUGUUGCUGAAUUAUAUUCACUCUUGAAUGCACUGCAAUUCAAAGUACUUUUUUUCCUUCACAGGUAUACGCAUGCAUAAUUUAUAUUAAUAUAAAAAAAAUGUUUAUAUGUUCCUUUUGUGGGCUGGGGGGUUUUCUUGGAGAGGAAAAAACAAAGGCGAGCGGGGAGGGGGCAAGCUUGAAGAUCCUGUGAAACCUAAUUUGCAAACAAUUUGCACUAGCAGCUGUAAAUUUCACUCCAGAGAUUUCCAGGUGCUUGGUGCACAUCUAUACAUGGAGAGCAGUUCCCAAGAGAUGAAGCUUGAUGGCUGCAUUAAAAUGAAUCAGAGGCCUUAUCUCAAUGCAGGGUAUUUGCAUAUCUCCUCUUCAUGAAUCCUUACUUCAUGGAUGUGUCUUCUGCUUUUGUGCUGCCCUCAGUUUUUUAAAAAGAAUGCAGAUGAAUAGGCUUUCUAUUAAUGAGUUGCAAUAAGAGCCUGCUGAAUUUCCUGACAUCCAUUUCAUGAUUGUACUUGUCUUUUAUAGAUGCGGUUCUUUAAUUGAGUUUACCAUACAUUUUAUAGCAUACUAGAAAUCAGAGUCCUUGAGCUACUGGCACCAUGCAUUCCUGCUGUGAGACAUCCACCAUCCACAUCCUCUCAGUUUACAUGGAAAAGAUGAGCGCUAUUUCAUUCUUUACCUUGGAAACUGGACUCAGUAAGAUUUGGGUUAUUUUUUUUCUCACAGUCGCUGAGAAUUACUGUGGCAUACUCAUAAUGUUAUCUCUCAAUUUAGCCUCCUGUCGAACAAGAUCGGUUUGUGCCAGCUCCUGGGGAAGUCCUGUCAGCAGCACUCCAAUCUUGAAUUAUUCUUGACCUCCCUUUCCUAUUUCCUUCUGGCAAAAUCUAAAUGCCACAGAUUGUCAAAGGUCUUACAGGCAGAAUGGGCCAUCCUGAGCAGAACUGUGUGUACUCAGAGUGAGAAUUUCACCUGGGUUUGUUUAAUGCGUCGUUGCAGUUGGCUUCAAACCAAAAGCUACGUGAUACCUUUCACUUCUUGUGGUGCUGGUUGGAAGAGCAGAAAAUAAGUAACUAAUGAGCAGAACUCUAGAGCUCACUGGAAAGUUGCCGCAAUAUGUGGAGAUUUUAAUGGCCUUUCCUUUGUCAGGGACACCUUACCCCUCUGAGCAAGAGGUGCUGGGCUGGUGCCAAGCCCAGGGAAAGCCAGCAAAGUCCCUGCGAGCAGCAGCAAAGCUGAAAGUUGUCUCGGUUUUAUCUCUUCCCACAGGAGGAAAUUGCUAGACCAAGACAGGGAUUUGUUCCUGCUUUAUGUUCGUGUUCAGCCUGGGAAGCUGAAGUCUUCCAAGGAAGCAACCAAGUAUCAGCAAGCAGAUUCUGUUCCUUACUCCUGAGAAGCUAAAUCCGAAGAAAGAAAGACAAGAUUUUCUUCUGAGAUGUGGUGUGACUACAGUGUGCUGCAAAAUAAACGCAGAUCUGAGAGAGAGACCCACUUCUGCUGCUGCCCACUCCUUUCUACUUUAAUAUUGUAAAUAAAUGAUUUGGAAAAAAACAAUAUCAUAAAAUAAUAAUAAUUAGAAUUCCACUGAUGUCCCUUUUAUGAUAAUAUAUUUGAGUUGUUCUUCAAAAAUCAAAUGAAGAAACUUCAGCCACAGUAGAGGUCUUAACCAAAAUUAAAGUCUUGUACUGAAAAUAUCAGCAUUUCUUAUGAGCUCACCUGGAGGGAGAUUAUGGGGCAACAAGUAAUGAGAUGGGUAAAGGACUGCUAUUCUUACUUCAUUUGGCCAAGAUCUACUCAACAUCUUGGAUUGUCCUCGUUUUUGUUGUGUAUUAAAAUGGUGCUAAGUGAGCUCAAGCAGGGCUUGGUGUUACAGACACUGUGAGACUGUCUCCUGGCAUUUUACAGUCAGAGGAGGAGUAGAGAGAAAGGAAUGAACUGGAGAGAACUUUUACAAUGCUCAUAAAACUGAUGUUAGAUCUGUGGGUGGCAUUUGCUGACAGCAUAGUCUGAAGGGACAAACAAACCAAAGGCAGAAGUGGUGAGGAAGGGAAAUGAAGAGAAAAAAAAGAGCAAGGAUGGAAAGAAGGAAACACAUGGUAGGCAAUGAAGUAAAGGUGAAGUGGCUGUGAAUAGCUAAUCACUGAAAAGAAAACAGUGUUGAAAGUAGAAGUACAUGGGAAAAAGCAGCACACAGAUAGAAUCAGUGAGUUGCUGAUAAUUCUUAGUCAAGCUGCUUUGGUUGCUUCACAUGCCAGCCUUGAGCUUCAGGCAGAAGAACAAUUGACUGUUACGACAGUCUGGAUUUAGUUCAAGGUGAAUUACGUGUGCAAUUUCAGGAUAAUUUAUCUUCGCCUGCCUUAAAAUCCAAAAGAAAGACACCGCCAACUUUUGUUCUAGCUUAACUAUUAAUUCUAUUGAUAAAAUUUUGUUAGUCAUCUUCAGAUUUAAAAAAAAAUCCAUGCAGUCAUAAUUAGAAUUCUAUGUAUAUAGAUACGAUUUACUAGGCACUCUUCUGACACAGGGAAAAUGAUACCAUUCCCCUAAACAUCAAAGAGAUUAAGACAGACAGCUCUUGGCAGAGGCCAACAGAAGGAGCAGCAAAGUAGGAGUAAGAUUUUUUCUCGUAUAACUGUGCCAGGAAGGAAAUCUUUCAGUGUUAAAGUUCAUAGAUUUGGUGAGCUUGCAAAGGGGGCUACAUGGGAAGAUGUUGUUUGACAUCGUAAGCCUCUUGUCUGGACCUACUAACACAUUCUCCUCCCUGGAGUUGAAGAAUCCAGGUCACCUUGUAAGUAGGCAAACUGCUGCUGCAGAAGUUUCUCCUUAGGUUGUUACAUCAGUAUCUCACCUUUUGCUUGCCAAGCUUGUUUAGUACCGCGGCAGGAGUCUUCUGAAAGAGACUGCUGUGCAUCUUUGAGGACAAUGUUAAAAUUAAGCAAAUGAUGCCAGAGGUUUGUGUUUUGCUCUCUGCUGCCAUGAAUGAUCAGCAUGGGCAUAUGAUAAAGGGUAACCACUUAUUUGUGUGAGUGACUGAAAGCAGUUUUGCCAACGGGGAUGUUUGGAACAGCAUUUAAUCUGAAAAGAUAAUUAAUGUCUUCUUUGUUGUGCAACAGAAGCCUAUGGAAAGAGAAUCAUAUUGCAUCAUAUCUCUCAAUAACAUACAACUGGGUGGCUGAAAUUGGGUUUAACUAGACAGACAAAAAUAACUUCGGGAGGAGCAGAGAAAGGUUAUGGGUCAUGUGAUGCUGAUUUGUUUGUUUAAAGUUGACCUAUCCCUGCAGCAGAGAGUUUAAUGGGUUCCAGUAAGGACUUGCACCCAGCAUGCAGAGCUGCAAUUACUGUGGGAUGGUUCGAAGUCUGUGUGUGUGUGUGAGGCCUGGGUCAUGUCUGUUCGUGGGGGCAGCAGUAGCUUUCGCAAAGACUACAGAUCAGACUUCCUGAGCAUCCUUCCACUGCCCUGUGAUUGACAAUCAAUAAAAAGAGACAUGAGAUACCCUGGGUGAAAAACAGGGCAUCUGAGAUUUCACUGAAGUUGUUCAAACUUGCAAGUAGAAAAAGAAAAGGAGUUUGUUGGCUAAGACAUUGUGAAUACUUUUCUCAUUUGUAUAAACCUGUAUGUAUAAACCUGUAAAUAAAGGUUAUGUUUCCCUUAAAGUGCUAUUUUUUAUUAUUUUUGAUUUUUUU